rnacentral:misc_RNA from 1 species
GAUGAAGAACGCAGUGAAAUGCGAUAAGUAAUGUGUAUUGCAGAAUUCAGUGAAUCAUCGAGUCUUUGAACGCACAUUGCGCCCCCUGGUAUUCCGGGGGGCAUGCCUGUCCGAGCGUCAUUGCUGCCCUCAAGCACGGCUUGUGUGUUGGGCCCCCGUCCCCGGUUUCCCCCGGGGACGGGCCCGAAAGGCAGCGGCGGCACCGCGUCCGGUCCUCGAGCGUAUGGGGCUUUGUCACCCGCUCUGUAGGCCCGGCCGGCGCCAGCCGACACCCAACUUUAUUUCUAAGGUUGACCUCGGAUCAGGUAGGGAUACCCGCUGAACUUAAGCAUAUCAAUAAGCGGAGGA